UGCAGUCGAACGAUGAAGCCCUUCGGGGUGGAUUAGUGGCGAACGGGUGAGUAACACGUGGGCAAUCUGCCCUUCACUCUGGGACAAGCCCUGGAAACGGGGUCUAAUACCGGAUAACACUCUGUCCCGCAUGGGACGGGGUUGAAAGCUCCGGCGGUGAAGGAUGAGCCCGCGGCCUAUCAGCUUGUUGGUGGGGUGAUGGCCUACCAAGGCGACGACGGGUAGCCGGCCUGAGAGGGCGACCGGCCACACUGGGACUGAGACACGGCCCAGACUCCUACGGGAGGCAGCAGUGGGGAAUAUUGCACAAUGGGCGAAAGCCUGAUGCAGCGACGCCGCGUGAGGGAUGACGGCCUUCGGGUUGUAAACCUCUUUCAGCAGGGAAGAAGCGAGAGUGACGGUACCUGCAGAAGAAGCGCCGGCUAACUACGUGCCAGCAGCCGCGGUAAUACGUAGGGCGCAAGCGUUGUCCGGAAUUAUUGGGCGUAAAGAGCUCGUAGGCGGCUUGUUGCGUCGGUUGUGAAAGCCCGGGGCUUAACCCCGGGUCUGCAGUCGAUACGGGCAGGCUAGAGUGUGGUAGGGGAGAUCGGAAUUCCUGGUGUAGCGGUGAAAUGCGCAGAUAUCAGGAGGAACACCGGUGGCGAAGGCGGAUCUCUGGGCCAUUACUGACGCUGAGGAGCGAAAGCGUGGGGAGCGAACAGG
rnacentral:rRNA from 1 species